AUUGAUCUGCCUUUUAACAAGCACCCUGGAUGAUUUUCAGGCACCCAAAUCUUUGGAAAUCACUGAGGUAAGGAACAGGCAGAGGGAGGGAUCAUCUCAAAGGAGACAGAGAAGGAAGGGGAGAGAGAAGAAGAAACCAGCAUAAUUCAAGUUCAUGAAAACCAAAGGAAGAGGUUUCGUGGGAGUAAAAUGUUGCGUGUGUCCAGCGUUUCAGCAAGUCCAGGCAGAGGAAGGACUGAGAAGUGAAUGUCCCUGGAAUCUGGUAACAUGGAAGUACCUUGGUCAGAGCAGUCUGGGGACAGAUGGGACACACACACUGCUAGAGGAGACUGAGGGGUGGAUGGACGUGGGGAGGACGGGAAGGAGAUUUGGACCGUUUUCUCAUAAGUUCGACUGAAUGGGGGGGCGGGGAAAUAAGACAGAAGAAACAAGAAAAUAAGGCAGAGUGUGAAGAAUGGGAAGGAAACGUGCAGAAGGUGCAGAUGGAAGAAGACAGAGCAGAGAGAAGGGGAACCCACCCAGGGAGACCCCUAAGACAGGAGGAGAUCACAGGUUAAGGGGCAAGAGGUGACAUGAGCCUUGGCUGGGAAAAGGCCAUGACAUAAGAACACGUGGUAGACAAUGUCUUUAUGAGUAGAGUUUUGGUAGCGGGAGGUUGGGAUCCCCACUGGACGUUUUCUAUUUUCUCUACAAAGCGGGAAGAGAGCCCACCUGCAAAGAAUGAGCCCAGUGGAGGUUACAGGGAAGGUCUGAAGAGAGAAAAAGCCAUCAAAGCCAGGUCGUGCUAACGACAGCCGCCGUUUCCAUAGGAGGCUACUUGGGCACAGAAUGUAUCGUGGAUUAGAGAUGAUUGUCCGGUCAGUACGGCCUAGGCAGAGACAUGCUCUGCUUUCUACGGUCACCGUGCCUGUGCCCUUAAUUGAAUCUCGAGCUGAGAAGAGAACCAUUGGCAGACAUUCGACUUUCCUUCUCUCAGCACAAGGUCUGAAGAAAUCCUCCCAGUGCCCUGGAGAUGCCCUGCCCCUCAGAGAACCAUUCCUCAGCCUUCGCUGUGACUCUACAGGUAGCUCCAUCUCCUCCCCAGAUGUUCCUCUUAUGAUCCAUUAGAGUUUAAACCAGCUGCAGACACCCAAAAAGCCCAACUGGCAUUAAACAUCAGACUGGACUAGGCCACAGGGCCCAGGUCUGCCCAUUUCCCAGGUGGCCUUUCACAGCCAUUCCUGGACUGGAGAGGACCAGGGGCCAUUGGGACAAGAAUCCAGACAUUUGUCCUGUCCGCACAUCUCCUCCUGUCCCAGUGACACCCCGUCCUGCCAUCACCGAAGUCAAUAGCCCCAGACAGCAUCCCUCCCCACAUACGCGAACUGUUUGAGAAAUUAAUAAAUACGUAACAAAGAGCCCUCUUCACACCGCGAGCAGCAAUGACAACUCUAUAGAGAGAGCCGUCCCCAACGAGAGCUGUGUGUGUGUGUGUCAUGUAAUAUCAGGAAUUAAAAAGCGUCAAAAGAUCAAGUGGGAGGAACAUUAAAUAUGAAUGGGAUGAAAGACACAUUUCUGUGCACGGAAUAAUGACUUUAAUGAGUUUCCUCA
ensembl:lincRNA